rnacentral:lncRNA from 1 species
AAGAUCAAAUUCUACAAAAUGUCUUUUCAUAUCAAUCAAUCUUAUCUUUUCGGUGUUUUAUUCAUUGCUUUGAUUUUGAGUUCAGGUAUUGUGAAAGCUAAUUAAUUUUAUGAUUUGAAAUAAAUUUUUGAUAUACAAUUUACUAACUUAAUAUGCAUUUUUUUCUUAGGCAUUUGAUUCAAAUUUGAUAUUGUUUGUUGUAUUAGUGUUCAUGUAAUCUACAUAUUAAAUCAGUAUUGGUAAACAAUUCUUUUAGAAAGUUUUAUUUUUAGGCCACCAUAAGGGUGUUUUGGGAGGGAUGGGUGGCGGUGGUGAUCAGAGGUGGUGAUGAUGACAGUAAGUGGUUAUAGCAUUGUUGUUAACAUCUACUUAUUGAUCACUUAUUAAUUUUAAUAAAAAAAACAAUUAUAAAUUUUUUCUUUUUUAGUAAUGCAAAUCCAUUUAAAAUGAAUAUGUUUUGAUUUUGAAAUUAACUUUUAAAAUUAAAAACAAAAAAUUCACAACUACCCCGAAUAAGUCCUUAAAAAAUAAUGCAAGAUUUGAAAAUCAAUAAUAAUAAGUAUUUUAGAUUAUACAUAUUAGAUGUUUUAGUGCAUUAGUCCAAAUAAAAUUGAAUAGAAAUUUUUAAAAGUAAAGAAAGGAAAGUCAUAUGAUAAAUAUUUUAUUUUGUUUGGUUUAGGACUUGAUACCAGUUUGGUGAAUGGAAGUGAUGAUUUGACUGUUCCUGGAGGAAUAUGCAAAGAGCCUUGUUAUUCACUUUGUGAUCAGGACUGCCGUGGUCAUGGAUAUAAAAAUGGUGGGAAUUGUGUUGAUGCACCUUCCAACCCAAUAUCAAAUUGGUGUUGUUGUUAUUAUUAAGGAGUUUUAUUGUAUCAAUGUAAUCAAAAUAAAUAAAAGACGUUAUGAACUUG